rnacentral:rRNA from 1 species
AUGAUGGCCAUUGUUGAUCACCUCAAACACCUCUGCAUUGACCAAUAUUUCCAAGACGAGAUCGGCAAUGUCGUGGACUCAUGCAUGGAUCUCACCCAUAGUGAUAAUCUCCUCGAUGUAGCCCUUUCCAUGAGGCUGAUGAGGGAAGCUGGAUAUCAUGUUUCAGCUGAUGAGGUUCUUCAAAAGUUUGCAAAUGGUAAUGGUGAUUUCAGCCUAGCUCAUAGCCAAGACAUCAGAGGAUUGCUGAGCUUGCAAGAUGUGUCACACCUCAAUAUGGGAGAAGCUUCACUCUACAAGGCAAAGGAGUACUCAGGCAAACACCUUAGAUCUACACUGAAGUACUUGGAGCCAAAUCUUGCAAGACAUGUAAGGCAGUCACUAGACCAUCCCUAUCAUGUCAGCCUGAUGCAGUACAAGGCCAGGCACCACCUGAGCUACCUCCAGACCUUGCCCACUAGGAACACGGCAAUUGAGAAGCUGGCACUUGCAGAGUUUCAGAUUAACAAGUUGCAACAUCAGAAGGAACUGCAAGAGAUUAAGGGAUGGUGGAUGGAUCUGGGAUUGGCUCAAGAAAUACCUGCUGCAAGGAACCAAUUAGUGAAAUGGUACAUGUGGCCCAUGACUAUCCUCGAGGGUUACUCCUUCUCUAAGUAUCGAAUUGAGAUCACAAAGAUCAUCUCAAUGGUAUACAUUGUGGAUGACAUCUUUGAUCUUGUUGCCACACAAGAGGAGCUAUCCCUCUUUAAUGAGGCAAUCAUAAUGUGGAAUCUUGAAGCUGCUGAUUCACUCCCAAGCUACAUGAUAUCAUGCUACAAGGCUCUUUACAAUAUAACAAAUGAUAUCGCUGAUAUGUCCAAGAAAGAGCAUGGACUGAACCCAAUUGAUCAUCUCAAGAAAGCUUGGGCAACUUUGUUUAACGGAUUCAUGAUUGAGGCAAAAUGGUUGUCUGGUAAUCACGCCCCUACACGGGACGACUACCUGAAAAACGGCAUCAUCACCUCAGGAGCACCACUUUUGUUUAUGCACCUUCUCUUCAUGCUAGGCCAUGAUUUAACGGAGGAAAACAACGACCACAUGUCUCGGAUUAUCUCAUGCCCAGCAAAAAUCAUGAGGCUCUGGGACGACAUGGGCAGUGCAAAGGAUGAAGCACAAGAAGGGCUCGAUGGAUCGUACAAGGAGCUCUACCUAAAAGAGAGCCCUCAUAGUGACGCGGAGGGGCACAUGUUAGAGAUGAUUGCAGAUGAGUGGGAGUGUCUCAACAGGGAGUGCUUCUCCAGGACGAGGUCAUCACUAUCCCCUACCUUCAUUCGAGCGUCACUCAAUUUUGCAAGGAUGGUCAGCGUCAUGUAUGGCUACGACCACGAGCACAGGCUCCCUGUCCUUGAGGAUUACACCAGAAUGCUACUCUUCUGA